GCCGUUGCCAAACUCUUUAACGAUUUUCACAG
rnacentral:scRNA from 1 species